AUACUUUUUAAGAAUCAACCCACAGUCCGCAUCAUUACUAUCUGUAAGUCAGCCUACCGCUUCGAUUUCUUCCCUGUUCAUCACAUGCCCUCGCCUAUCCACACACAUGAUCUCCAAUUUCAGACCGCCUGGUCGCCGCCGCCGGGUGCCGCUCUGCCCCAAGCACGUCUCCUACUCAGGCUUGCCCUCUUCACCCCCCUCUCCCAUCGUCCCCAAAUGGAAAUGCCCCAAGCUCCCCUCGCCGGGCCGCUAACCACAUGCGCCGCCCGCACGCGGCCACGUCUCGCCCGAUUUUCCAUUGCACAUCUCCUACCUUGGGGUCCAGCGAGCGGUGCCGGCAGCCAUGGCUAAUUGCCACGGGUGUGGCCCAUCCGAGCUCCGAUUUAGGCAGGUCGACCGGGUGUCCUUCGGGGCUCGACAGUGGCGGGUGCGGCCAAUCGGAGCUCCGGUUUAGGAAGGUCGACCAAGUCUCCUCCGGGGCUCGACGGUGGCGUGGCCAGCCCGGUGGGGACAGACGCAUCCAGUCUCAGCUGCCACGCGAUCGUCCCUCUAUGUGUCGGCUACUGCUGCACCCCACACUCAUAUAAUUAAGCCAACACUGGGAAAUUGAUAUUUUCAUUCAGAGUCAGACUAACCACCUCUUCAAUUCUGGUUGAUUUGUGGUUUUGAGACUCACGCAAGCAGGUUAUGCGCUCAUGGAGGAGAACCUGCUGUUCCUGGGGGCCUGGAAAGCAGUUGACAACGCUACUACUUGUGACGAGCUGUGUACACAAGGGAAGAGACAUAUGACUCCAAAUGUGCAAAGUCUGCAAGUCAUCACGUGCCACUUCAUAUUUGAGAAAGUUGAGUUUGCAUGUGAGACACUGGAGAGCCCCACUCUGCUCAACUUGAAGGUGCUGUUGCUGAACUUGUAAAGGUGCAACAAGAAGAGGAGGCUGCCUAGAAUUGCUAUAUUGAAGCGGGAUCUGCUGGAAGUUACCUUUGGCCAUCCACUGAUUUAUUUGUUGGGAGGAAGGGCCCUUGCUGGAAGUGUGGAGGGAAUCCCCAUGGUGGCGGCACUCCUGGUUCAGGGUAGCUGAAAUAGCCCGGGAACCACAACAACGACAUUUACAUCUACCAGACUGAUCGAACUGCUGGAAGGAGUUGUUCUGGCUGCGUGCCCCUCUCUCCCUUUGUGUAACAUCCCAAAAUUCUAAAUUUUGGAAUGUUAUAUUAAAUAAUUAAUUAUGACUGUUUGUUUGAUUGUUGUGUGAAUGAUGUUGUGAAAUUGAGUGGAAAUUGAUUUUCUUUUGAAAGUUGAAUGAGAGGAAAUAAAAGGACUUUCCCAAAA